AUGGGCCCAGAGUCCUGCUCCCGAGUGCCGCCCAGGGCAGGCCUGGUUGCCCCAGAGCCUCUGGCAUGGCCUACAGUGUCCCUGGGCCUCCCAGGUCCACACAGGGCCCCUGAUCCCCCCCACACACCAUUUCCCCCCUUCUGCCCAGGUCUUAGCACCUUGCUGGGAGCCAAGAAGCCCUGUCCUCUCACUCCUGAGUGCUGGCCCUUGCUCAGUGCACAUGAAGCUGCCCUGGUGACACAGGUGCCCCGAGGCUGGCUCUGGCUAGAAGGAAAGGUUGUCAGCAACUCCUUCCCAUCAGCAACGAGCCAGAGCCAGAGGGUGAGGCCGGUGUGGAGAGCAGGCGGUGAGAAGCCGACUGGGGCGGGGCCUCGUUGGCCCCAGGGCACGGCUCUUCAGUGUCAGCACUGGACAGGGGAGGGAGAGGUUUCAAGUGACAGCAGUCGCUUGCAUUCUAGGUAUUCGAUCAGAAGGAAUUCUUCCCCAGAAGGAAAAAACCACAGGAGCCAAAGAACCCACCGAGGAGUCACACUCAGGCCCUGUCCGAUGAGGAGAGCAGGUGGCCGAGCUCCUGGAGGGCCAGGCUGCAAAGCCACUGCCUUGCCGCUCAGCAGAGUCAGCCUGGAGUCACGCUGGUCUCCGGGCAGCCAAGCCUCACUGCACUCUGGGCUCUCCUCCAUCAGCUUUACUUACAGAGCGGAGUUCACAGCAGCACCCCCGCAAGAUGCACGUCUGGAGGACUUCCUCUUGAGACCCAGCACCAUCUACUCCAGUGUCAGGACCACAGCAGUGACGUGCUCAGGACCACAGGGAGUGAGAUGCCGACCUGAUGUGCUGGUGAACCUGAGUCUGGGCUCCAGAACCAAGAUUCCAUCCACCCUGCCCUGCUGCUGCCCAGCACAUGUAUAACCUCAGUCUUCUUCUCCACAAAAUGGGCACACUAAUUGUUUCUUCCUUCUCCUCACCAGAGGAGUGGAAAAAGUACAGGGUGAGACUGGAAAGUUGUGGGGAGCUGGAGACUGUUGGAUACAUGCCAGGAUGGCAGACAAAACCUAAGGCACAGGGAGGCCUUACCACGUGGCGGGCCACCUCCCUCCUAGUCCCCAGUGCCUGAGUCCACAGCGCCCCCUGCUGGCGAGCUAUACAGAAGCUCCCUGUGGGCGCACCCGCAGCACACUGCUUUACCCCGCUGUCGCUGAGAAGGAGUCCAUGUUCUCAGGCUGAGCAGGCAGAGGGUGAACGGUGCCCAGGCAUCAGGAAACCUAGACCUGGGAGGGGGAGCAGGGCUUCACCUCAGAAGGGCAUUCCCUAGACUAAGAGUGCACCGUGCUUCUGGGCCCCCUGAAAUCUUGGCGGAGGCUAGCGAUCUCCAAACCCAGAAGCCACCCUGUGUCUUUGGAGGCUGCAUGGUCAAUGAGAAGCAGGGCAAACCUUGGGACACCAGGCUGGCCCCUUUGCCCCUCGUGUUCCCUUUACCCACCCAUGGGCAGUGGCUUUGUUACUGCCUCGGUCUCCUUGGCCUGAAUCUGUGUUGAGUGCUACAGAUUCAGGGGGACCAAGUCCUUCCUGUGCCAACCCCCCGAGGCCUCAGACAUGCCACUGUCUUCCCCAUCGGCUCCCACCCCCCUUCUAUCUGGAGUCUGCUAAGGAGGCAGCCACGGUGAACAUGUGCAGCACAGGAGAACAUUCAGCCCGAUCCCUGGGAACCCCCCAUGAACCUCAGUCUGUGCCUAUGUAGGGCUGGGGCUCCAGGACGCCUCCUCCAGGAAGCCUUCCUUGAGGUACUCUGCCUCUGCUCUUUCCUGACUCCAGGCUUUUGCAGGAUCUGCCGGCAGGCGCUGCUUUGUGCCGCACAUAUUUAUCUUAUCUAUCCCCAUAGAAGCUCCAGGCCUCCCGAGGGAAGGUUUAUGUCACUUGCUCACCAGGAGGCAGAUGUCUGUGCUUCUUUACAUCUUCAUAAAUCUGCCCUUGGGAGCCACUGACAAUGUCUGAAAGUAAUUUUGAUGGGAUGGGGAAGUGGGUAACACUAGGAUCUAGUGGGUGGAUGUUAGGGAUCUGUAAUAGCCCUAACACAGCCCAGAACAGCCUCCUGCCCCCAGCCCAAGAUUAUCCAGUCUUAAAUGUCGAUGUGCCCAGGGUGAGAAACCCUGAUUUAAAUGAAUGCGUGGAUUAGGUAUUAAUAUUGUGAUGAGCAGCAAUGGCUGCUAUAGGAGAGUUGCUCGUUCUAUUGAGGGGGAGGCCAAGUACCAGCAGGUGGACACUGGUUUCUCUUUCCUGCCUCCUAUGCAGUCCCAGGAGCCUUGCACACCUUUUCUGGGCUGGAGGAGGGGCCAGGGCCUGUGUGGAGUCCAGGGUGAAGGGGGCCUCUGUGCGGACCCUUUGGGAGCAGCGGGUGCCUUGGCUGGUGUGUGUGAUGAGGCUGGAGAAGCUUCUUUCAGUCCCGAUGGUCGCAGAGUUCUCUGACAUGCAUGGGCAUUUCUCCUCUGCUGAUGGCAGGACCCUUGGCAGGGCUGAGGGUGGAGCCCUGACUUCCACCCGCUUUGCCAGAUAUGGGGGGGGGGUCACUGUGGCCGUAACUGCCCUCCCUGGGAAAGGCUGGAAGAACAAGAAGGCUUUGACAGGCUCCAUCAAAG
rnacentral:lncRNA from 1 species